rnacentral:rRNA from 1 species
GAACCUGCGGAAGGAUCAUUACUGAGAGGGGUUUUCGGACCCCGGGGGCUUCGGCCCCCAUCUCUUCACCCUAUGUUUACGUACCUUCGUUGCUUUGGCGGGUCUUGGGGCUCGCCCCCUACCGGCUACUGGCCUAGUGCCCCGGCCGGUCCGUGCCCGCCUGAGGCCCAUCAAAUUCUGUUCAUCAGUGACGUCCGAGCAAAAACACAAUAGUAAAAACUUUCAACAACGGAUCUCUUGGUUCUGGCAUCGAUGAAGAACGCAGCGAAAUGCGAUAAGUAAUGUGAAUUGCAGAAUUCAGUGAAUCAUCGAAUCUUUGAACGCACAUUGCGCCCCUCGGUAUUCCGGGGGGCAUGCCUGUUCGAGCGUCAUUGCACCCCUCAAGCUGAGCUUGGUAUUGGGUCUUCGCCCCCGUGGCGGGCCCGAAAGUCAGUGGCGGUUCGGCGCGACUUCGAGCGUAGUAAAUCUUCUCCCGCUUUGGAAGCUCGCGCUGCGGCCGGCCAUAAACGCCCAAAUCUUUCAAUGAUUGACCUCGGAUCAGGUAGGGAUACCCGCUGAACUUAA